GCGGGAAUGGCGGAAUUGGCAGACGCGCAAGACUUAGGAUCUUGUGUCUAUGACGUAGGGGUUCAAGUCCCCUUUCCCGCACCA
rnacentral:tRNA from 1 species